ACGGGAAAGAAAGAGAGGAAGGAAGGAAGAGGAAGAGAGAGAAGGAAAAGGAAGAGAGAAAAUAGAGGAAGAUAAGAGGAGAUAAUAGAGAGAGUUAUCUUUGUACUCCUAUUAUUUCAAAUUAUAAUGAAAGCACCACUGCUGCCCCGAGGACGUACUCCAGUCACACUGACUGUAGAGGAACCUCGUAAAUUUUGUGUCUUGUUUCAUUUAUUCCACUGCACCCACAGUCGAUUUUACAACACGUUAUCAGCACGAGAAGCUCUCAUGUCAGUGGAAAGCACAACGCCACAAAUCCUAUUCACCUCCUUCAGCUGGAAUCUCACAGAUAAGAAACAAUUUUCAUUUCAUCUUCAAAUCUCAGUACAAUUGAUUUUCUUGAAGCAACUAUAUAUAUUGUUGUAUGACUGUAUAUCAUCCUUUGCAGAAGCAAAAGAGUACAUACUCAAAAUUCGUAAAGAAUUUGACAGCCAUUUAAACAGCCUCUGAACUCCAACUUGCGGACCUCGGAUUAAAAUACUUUCUUCUUGAAAGUUGUUCGUCCACUCAGUAUCUACAACAUAUCAAAAUUUCAGAAAACUUUAACGGUUCGAUCGUUGCAGAUGUCUGAAAUACUAAACCAGUUUCCAAUUUCCGCAGAAAACUGGACAGCCACCUUAUGAGUACCAUAACUCUAUUUCUGUAGCUCAAAUCGAAAUUGUUUCUUCACGAAAGUUGUUUGGUAUCCUCUUAUCCAUAUCAUACUAAAAUUUGAACUAAAUCUAACGGUUUGAGCUUCUCAUAAGUUGCAGACACUCUUGACUCCAAAACUUAUGGGAACCGUUUCGACUUUUUCGAAACUCACCGGAGGAGGAACACCAAUUGGAACUUAUUGUUACUAUUAGUUACUGAGUAACCAAAAUGACUUCGAACUGUGAAAUAAUAAUAAAAAUAAAAGGGAUGAAACAAAAGAAGUGGCAGACCAAGAAAAUGAAAAAGCAAAACAUGAGGACUUAAUCAUUGCAUUUUCUGUUUUGGCAUAUUUAUGUGCAUGGUGUCGGUUUAAAGCCCAUGUCACAAGUUCUAUUUAUUUAAAGCAAUUUAUUUAUAGUGGGUAUAAUUAUUACCCUUUGCUUUAAAGCUUUGAUAUUUAUGUGAAUGGUGCUGAAUCAAAGCCCUUGUCAUAAGUUUUAUUUACUUUAAAGCAAUUUAUUUACCAUGGACGGUUUUACCGCCUAUUGCUUUAAGUUUUGAUGGUGCUGAAUUAAAGCCCUUGUCACAAGCUUUAUUUACUUAAAUGCAAUUUAUUCAUUAUUGCUGGAAUUACCGUCUAUUGCUUUAAUUUAUUUAUUGUACUUAUCUUUUGUUACUAUGAGUAUAUACAGGACCUGAAGUUCCUUGAUCAGAUCAGAACCUGCAGUUUCUUGAUCCUCAUCAUAUAAAAUGAUUGGACCCGAAGUUCCAUCAUACAAAAGGAUCUGGCAUGAAGUCCUUUGAUCCUGAAGAUCAGGACAUGAAGUUCCUAGAUGAGUACCGUAAGUUUGAAGUGCCGCAAUGCCUCAACUUAAUUAUAAUAAAGGACAUAAGAGUCUCAGUUCACAGACUAUUAAACAAGGACCAGAAGUUCCUCAUGUCUAUACUCAAAAUGGUUUAGCAGAAGCAUUUAUUAAGUAGGUGAAAUUAAUUAUCAACGCUCUGCUCAUGAAAACGAAAUUGCCAAUUUUCUACAUGGGAACAUGUAAACUUUACAUGAUGCAUUAUUAAUUCGGUUGAGACAUGUUACCGACCAUCAAUACUUCUCAGUAGAACUCGGGUUUGGGAACCAGCCAAACAUUAUACAUUUACGAGUUUUUGGUUGUGUUAUCUAUGUGUCUAUUGCACUACCACAACGUACUGAAAUGAGGCAUCAUCGUAGAUUAGGCAUUAAAGUUGAACACCAUCUAUCAUUCAAUAUUUAGAACCCUUGAUUGGGGAUAUGUUUACCGCAUGUUUUGCGGACUGUUAUUUUGAUAAGACAAUUUUCCCGCUGUUAGGGGGAGAAAAUAUCGUUCCAGAAAAAUGAUGAGAAAAGACCGUUCCAGAAAAACGAAGAGAAUUUGUCUUAUUUUGAUUCACGAAGCAAUCAAUGAGAAAAUGAAAUAUGAAUAAUUGAAUGAUGCAACGAAAGUGAUGAAAUCAUAUAUAUUUACUGCAAAUGUGCCUACAAGAAUUGAUGUCUCUGUUGGUAAAAUAAUGAGACAGUAAAUGAUUUAUCUGUUGCACGCCUGAAGCAUGGCAGAUUUUUAGACUCAAAAGGUUCAGUUAUUCGAAAGAAGAAUAAUAUGGCACUACUGAACUAUUGCAUUCCCGAAGCAUAAUUGUUGCAUGCCAGAAGCAUGACAGUCGCCGCAUGGAUACACGUCCCAGAUAGGACAAUCCACAGACAUGGGAAUGUUGAUGUCUCAUACAUGAAGCAUAAUAAACAUAUAGGUUCCAAUGACUCAACUCCCGGAAAUGGAGAUUAAAAUCCAAGCUCUAUAACGCUCAAGAGGAGGUUAUGAUCCACAUUCUCUCAAUUAUGACUAUCUUGGAAGAGAUAGCGUCAUGCCCUUGAAGAGGCAAUGGAUAUCCAAAGAAAUGAAAAGCUUUUAUGCAUGCGCAUGCACAGGAGAAUAUGGGAUCACGGAUUGAUGAUAACCAAUGGUAAUUUUGGUUUUUACAAGUAGCUACUAAAUUCAUCAAUGAGCUGUGUUAAUAUUGAGUCACGUUCUUUUGUUCGUCGACAAAAGAAAAAUUAUUGGCCAAAAUGGAGAAAGGCAAUUCCAUUACAAUUUUGUAAGAACGUGGGCAAAUGAAUCUAUAUAUAUUUGAAUACAAUACAAAUAGCCAAAUGAUAUUGAACCAAGGAGGUUAUAUAUGGGCAUUUGUAAUACAGUGUAAUACACUUACAUGAUAUGACACAAGGUUGUAAACGAGUUCAUAUGAAUGGAGAAUUAUAUACGAAGGGUUGUGAGUCGCCCACAUUAUAUCUCCAUAAGUAAAUCCCUCAAGUAUACAUGGGAGCAAAUUGCUCUGUAUAAAUUCCAAAGGAAAAUGUGUCAUGAAGUGUAGAAAAUCCUUGAAGGAUUCAAAUUGCUUGAAGUAAGCCCCUGAAGGGUAAAGCAUAAAAUAUAUACUCAAUAUCAAUGGAUGAUAUAAAUUGCCUUAGUGAGUACUAUCAUUAUGAUAUUGUUGCAACAUACUAAAAUCUCUUGCAAGAGUCAAUGACAUUAAAUUAGAACUCUUGAAGAGUUGAUGAUAUUAAAUUGGGACUCCUGAAGAGUCUAGAAAAAUUAUAAAGUGUUGAAGGAAUUAUUGUCUCGAGCUGCAGAUUGAACAAUCUACCAACACGAAUCUUAUCCAUGAUAUUUAUGAUAUUAAAAGAACCAUAUGGAUUGAAGAUUAUGAGUUAAAUACUCAUAUGAUGAAGACACUAAGAAUAAACAUUUAUCUUCGUGAGGGUAAAGAUAAAUUAAUAUUUGGUCCAGAAGUACCACAUCUUAGUGAAGUAUAUGCUUUAUUGUAUUUGGCAAUACAUUGAAUGAAAUAAAGCUUAUUUAUUAAUAUUUCCAAGAAAUUACAGAUAUAUACAUACACAUGAGUUAAAACAAACAAACAGGAUGAAGCAUUCACAAAGGUUACUCAUGUGCAGCCUCAGUACUCGAAAGUACCCCAGAAGGGGGAGGCACUGGAGAUUGAUCAUGUGGCACCCCAGUACUUAGCAAAACACCAGAAGGGGAAGGCAUCAGUUGCUUUCGGAAUCUAGCAACGAACCUCUGGUGAUCACUUUGAAUCCGACUUUCGGAUUCCUGCAGUUGGACGAGCUUUCUUUUCAUGCUCGUAGAGUAACUAUUUGCAAGCACGUGUAACACCCUAUUCUCGUGCUUGAGCCCUCUGAUCUCUUGUUUAAGACUUGCCACCUCCGCCAUCAAUGAUUCAACUUGGCGAGUUUGAGCAAGUAGGCGUUGGCCCAUAUUGGAAACAGAGCCAGCACACUGAACACUGAGAGCCAAGGAGUCUUGAACGGCCGACUCUUCAGACCGUUAUGAAAGGAUCUUGUUAUCCGUUGGAGUGAGAAGAUUUCUAGCUACCACAGUAGCGGUUAUGUUAUUCUUCAUCAUAGAGUCCCCAACCGUAAGAGGACCAUUAGAAGAUAAGAAGGACGUGCGCCAUAUAUUAUCCUGACGCUGCUCGUCUGUAUCACUCCUAAGACUCAAAUCUAAGCAAAUGUUAGAUGGGCAAGUCAUUUUUCAGAAAUGAUGAAGGAAAAACAGAGGUCAAAUAAAAUUUCAGAAGUUCAAGAAGGUGGAAAUUUCUCAGGCAGCAACUUUAUGAGCAUACUCUUGAAUGCAAUUGAUGUCUCUAUAAAAGAAGAGGCAACAGAGCCGCUUGUUCAAAGAUCAAAGCGACACGGCUCUCCGAAUUUCAAAAAGCCAGAUUUUCCUGAAUAAAGUUCGUUGGCAUUUUUCAGACGUAAUCCCAGCUUUUCAGAUGUCGCGUGCAAUUUUGUCAAAGAUCUCUAACAAAGUUGAAAACGCGUAAAUCUUACUGUUCUAUUUACACCACAGUUGCUGACAAGAGUAAAAGCACAGCACCACCACUUGCUAUUGAGAAAUCUCUAUAUAUGUCGACCUCUGUUCUCCAUAACAAGGCAGACCUGCAACACUGCAAGAAUGCCUAACUCUUCCUCAUCUCCGAGAAUGCAUCUUCAACAUAGCAUCUCGAAAUACUUAGUUUUCUUCCUCUCUGAGAAUACCUCUUCAAACAUGUUACACCAGAGCAAGAUUAUCACAUAUCUUCAGGGACCAGAGCAAGAUUAUCUCAUAUCAUGCAAUCUCCCUGUCAUUUCCUUUGUCCUUGUUCUUGCCUGCGAAGACAAGGAUAAAGAAAGCAAUAUGUCGGAACCUCCACUCAAACUCCCGGUAAGGAACCGACUGCUUGGAACCUUUCCUGAUUGCUUACCUAAUGUUGCUCUCGAGUAGCCAUCUUCAACGGUUGGAGCUGGGUCUCCAGUCACCAAGAAGUGAUGAACCAUCCAAAUGCAAGGGUUUGCAUUCCACUUCUGCACCAGGGGACAAAUCCUACAAGAGAAGAUGCCACAUAUGCAUGGGGGAAAAAGCAGUGAAAAUACUACUUAAGUAAGGGGAGCAAGUAAGGAAAGUGAAAAUGAUGCAUUGAAGCAUGUGGAGACAAGUGCAAUGAACAUAUGCUGAUUCAUCCCCAACUAAGCCGACUAUCACUUGUCACGUGAAGCUCCUCAUGGUCCAAUUUCAUUCAAGAUCAAGCCUCGAAGGUCCUUGAAGAAAUCACAAGUCCGAUUCAAGAUCAAGUGUUCACUACUCUUGAAUCAAAUUCCGCUCCAGAUAAAAGGAGUAAAUUCAGACCUUUGGAUGCUAGUCUAGCAGAAAGUCCUACAACCCAGUUCAAGAAAAAGCCUGUGGAAAGUUAACAACAAGUAAAGCAACUCUUUCAGCAACUCUUCUUACUAAGAGACUAAAGCAGAACGAUCAACGAUCAACCUAAAUGAUUUGAAAUCAGGGGGAGAUACUCAUCAGGGGGAGCAUUCAAAACAGAUCAAGAUUUUAACGAGUCAAUCGAAAACUUGUGGCCAUCCAAGGGGGAGUGUUAUAAAUAUUAUGUGGAUGGUCCACAUGAAUAGUUUGUUACUAUUUAUGCACAGUAUUUUCACUAUUCAUUUGUGGAAAAUUUGUAAAGUGAAUAGUGCUUUAUUUUGUUUAUAUAAAGGAAGAAGAUGAGAUGAGAAAGAGAGUUCACGGGAAAGAAAGAGAGGAAGGAAGGAAGAGGAAGAGAGAGAAGGAAAAGGAAGAGAGAAAAUAGAGGAAGAUAAGAGGAGAUAAUAGAGAGAGUUAUCUUUGUACUCCUAUUAUUUCAAAUUAUAAUGAAAGCACCACUGCUGCCCCGAGGACGUACUCCAGUCACACUGACUGUAGAGGAACCUCGUAAAUUUUGUGUCUUGUUUCAUUUAUUCCACUGCACCCACAGUCGAUUUUACAACAAGGCGAUAUUUAUUAUGUGAUUUUUGGACCCAAGACUCCCUUAUUUGAUUAUUCACUUAAUCUUGUUAGUUAAAGGUGCUUUUCUUCUAUUAUACAAAGCUCAAAGAACACAUCUAUUCUACAGUCUACUUAACGUGGCCACGCC
rnacentral:lncRNA from 1 species